GCCAUCGCAUUUAUGUCCUGCCUCAUAGGUUAAGCUAAUGGGUUAGCUACAUCUCGAAUAAACCCGAUAUCAAAAGUCCUCCGAUCCUUAAUCAUCUCAUCAACCAUGGGUAUCUCCAAUACUCCUACAGCCUAGCAUAGAUAUGUGAUCAUGCACGGAUACGCCAGGUAUGCCUUCUUCUCUGUAAUACCUCUAUCUUUCAACUCUUUAGCCAAGAAUUCACCAACAUCAAAGGCAUAUCCGAU
rnacentral:lncRNA from 1 species